CAGAUGUGUCUGCAGGGACGACUUCACCAACUCCUACCUUGGAUGAUGCACAAAAGCCCAGCUCCCAUCACAGGAGUCCUACGAUAGGAGAGACCAAAGACAUGGCAGGCAAGAAAUUCCAGGACCCGUUAGAAAUCAUGUGGCAAAUGCUGAAGGAACGUCUGCAGAGAAAGCAAGGGCUGUUUCCCAGCCUGGCCUGGCUGCAGCUUCUGCCCAGCCUCUGCAGGAAGGAAUUUGGCAUCAGCUGAUAGGCAGCCCUAAUUGCACCAUACUCCAUGCCCACCCUCAGAUCCUCUGCAAUUUCCUGGUGUCCAGGCAGAUCAGAUGUUGGAGCUGUUUGAUGAAGGAAGCAGCCUUGGGUUGUCCCAAAAUCCUGGGUGUUUUCUGAUCCUUAUCCAUUCCUUUCACAAGUGAUGCCUCCUGAAAUUGUCCCCUACCCCAUUCCCAGUGAGGAAUGUUUCCA